rnacentral:rRNA from 1 species
AGAGCGAACGCUGGCGGCAGGCCUAACACAUGCAAGUCGAGCGCCGUAGCAAUACGGAGCGGCAGACGGGAGAGUAACACGUGGGAACGUACCCUUUGGUUCGGAACAACCCAGGGAAACUUGGGCUAAUACCGAAUAAGCCCUUACGGGGAAAGAUUUAUCGCCGAAGGAUCGGCCCGCGUCUGAUUAGCUAGUUGGUGGGUAACGCCCACAAGGCGACGAUCAGUAGCUGGUCUGAGAGGAUGAUCAGCCUCAUUGGGACUGAGACACGGCCCAAACUCCUACGGGAGGCAGCAGUGGGGAAUAUUGGACAAUGGGCGCAAGCCUGAUCCAGCCAUGCCGCGUGGGUGAUGAAGGCCCUAGGGUUGUAAAGCCCUUUCGGCGGGGAAGAUAAUGACGGUACCGCAGAAGACGCCCGGCUAACUUCGCGCCAGCAGCCGC